rnacentral:rRNA from 1 species
GACGAACGCUGGCGGCGUGCUUAACACAUGCAAGUCGAACGAAGAGCGAUGGACGCUUGCUUCUAUCAAUCUUAGUGGCGAACGGGUGAGUAACGCGUAAUCAACCUGCCCUUCAGAGGGGGACAACAGUUGGAAACGACUGCUAAUACCGCAUACGAUCUAAUCUCGGCAUCGAGGAUAGAUGAAAGGUGGCCUCUACAUGUAAGCUAUCACUGAAGGAGGGGAUUGCGUCUGAUUAGCUAGUUGGAGGGGUAACGGCCCACCAAGGCGAUGAUCAGUAGCCGGACUGAGAGGAUGAACGGCCACAUUGAGACUGAGACACGGCCCAGACUCCUACGGGAGGCAGCAGUGGGGAAUCUUCCGCAAUGGACGAAAGUCUGACGGAGCAACGCCGCGUGAGUGAUGACGGCCUUCGGGUUGUAAAGCUCUGUUAAUCGGGACGAAAGGCCUUCUUGCGAAUAGUGAGAAGGAUUGACGGUACCGGAAUAGAAAGCCACGGCUAACUACGUG